rnacentral:rRNA from 1 species
UACGUAGGUGGCAAGCGUUAUCCGGAUUUACUGGGUGUAAAGGGCGUGUAGGCGGGACUGCAAGUCAGAUGUGAAAACCACGGGCUCAACCUGUGGCCUGCAUUUGAAACUGUAGUUCUUGAGUACUGGAGAGGCAGACGGAAUUCCUAGUGUAGCGGUGAAAUGCGUAGAUAUUAGGAGGGACACCAGUGGCGAAGGCGGUCUGCUGGACAGCAACUGACGCUGAGGCGCGAAAGCGUGGGGAGCAAACAGG